ACUGUUAUGACUCAGGCUUUAAUGAAGGCAGGUCGACCAAUCUUCUUUUCGCUAUGUGAAUGGGGAGAUAUGCACCCAGCUUUGUGGGGUGCUAAAGUUGGAAAUAGUUGGAGAACUACUAAUGACAUAAAUGAUUCAUGGGAAAGUAGGAUUUCAAGGGCUGACAUGAAUGAAGUUUAUGCUGAGUUUGCAGGACCUGGUGGCUGAA